rnacentral:tRNA from 4 species
GGCCCCAUCGUCUAGCGGUUUAGGACAAGGCGUUCUCAGCGCUUAAACUCGGGUUCAAAUCCCGAUGGGGCCGCUA